rnacentral:rRNA from 1 species
GACGAACGCUGGCGGCGUGCUUAACACAUGCAAGUCGAACGGAAAGGCCCUGCUUUUGUGGGGUGCUCGAGUGGCGAACGGGUGAGUAACACGUGAGUAACCUGCCCUUGACUUUGGGAUAACUUCAGGAAACUGGGGCUAAUACCGGAUAGGAGCUCCUGCUGCAUGGUGGGGGUUGGAAAGUUUCGGCGGUUGGGGAUGGACUCGCGGCUUAUCAGCUUGUUGGUGGGGUAGUGGCUUACGAAGGCUUUGACGGGUAGCCGGCCUGAGAGGGUGACCGGCCACAUUGGGACUGAGAUACGGCCCAGACUCCUACGGGAGGCAGCGGUGGGGAGUAUUGCACAAUGGACGGAAGCCUGAUGCAGCAACGCCGCGUGCGGGAUGACGGCCUUCGGGUUGUAAACCGCUUUCGCCUGUGACGAAGCGUGAGUGACGGUAAUGGGUAAAGAAGCACCGGCUAACUACGUG